GCGCCCGUAGCUCAGUCGGAUAGAGCAACGGCCUUCUAAGCCGUGGGUCGCAGGUUCGAAACCUGCCGGGCGCG
rnacentral:tRNA from 1 species